UUUGGCUGCAGGAGGGGCAGCUGGAGCUGGGGGAGAUGCAGGAGCUGGUGUGGCAGGGGCCGAGGGAGCAGCAACAGGGCUCUUGGGAGCUGCUUUGGCUGCAGGAGCAGCUGGAGCUGGUGGAGAAGCAGAAGCUGGUGGAGCAGCAACAGGGCUCUUGGGAGCCACUUUGGCUGCAGGAGCAGCUGGUGGAGAUGCAGGAGCUGCUGGUGGAGAUGCAGGAGCUGGUGUGGCAG